rnacentral:rRNA from 1 species
CCUACGGGUGGCAGCAGUGAGGAAUAUUGGUCAAUGGACGAGAGUCUGAACCAGCCAAGUAGCGUGAAGGAUGACUGCCCUAUGGGUUGUAAACUUCUUUUAUAUGGGAAUAAAACGUUCCACGUGUGGGAUUUUGUAUGUACCAUAUGAAUAAGGAUCGGCUAACUCCGUGCCAGCAGCCGCGGUAAUACGGAGGAUCCGAGCGUUAUCCGGAUUUAUUGGGUUUAAAGGGAGCGUAGGUGGAUUGUUAAGUCAGUUGUGAAAGUUUGCGGCUCAACCGUAAAAUUGCAGUUGAAACUGGCAGUCUUGAGUACAGUAGAGGUAGGCGGAAUUCGUGGUGUAGCGGUGAAAUGCUUAGAUAUCACGAAGAACUCCGAUUGCGAAGGCAGUUCACUGGACUGCAACUGACACUGAGGCUCGAAAGUGUGGGUAUCAAACAGGAUUAGAUACCCUAGUUGUC